UACGUGGGGGGCAAGCGUUGUUCGGAAUUACUGGGCGUAAAGGGCGCGUAGGCGGCCUUCUAAGUCGGACGUGAAAUCCCUCGGCUUAACCGGGGAACUGCGUCCGAUACUGAAAGGCUUGAAUCCGGGAGAGGGAUGUGGAAUUCCAGGUGUAGCGGUGAAAUGCGUAGAUAUCUGGAGGAACACCGGUGGCGAAGGCGGCAUCCUGGACCGGCAUUGACGCUGAGGCGCGAAAGCUAGGGGAGCAAACGGG
rnacentral:rRNA from 1 species